rnacentral:tRNA from 1 species
AGUCCAGUGGUUAGGACUCUGCACUUCCACUGCAGGGGGCACAGGUUUGAUUCCUGGU